AAGACACUGAAAUGGUGAUGUGAUGAAUAGACACAUUGGUUGCAUUUAUUAGUUGAGAAGAAGUCACCAGAAGGUUGUCGUGCAAUGGACCUUUGAGAAACCUAUUGCUUCUGUUCCCACAUGGAAGGCUUUUUUUAAAAAAAGGGUUCUGAAAUACAUUGGAUGCACCCCCAAAUCUGCAGCAAUCAUCAUGGCAGUUUAGGGAUCACUUAUAGAAACAUUAAAAUGCCCAGUGAAUAAUGAGGAAAUAGGAAGGCCGGCCUACAACCUGGGAAUCUAACUGAUAAGAAAUUAACAAGGGAAUCCAAAUCGACUCUGCUCUUGAUACAUCCCAACUAAUAAAGGAUAAUUAACACCGCCGAAACAUUUUUGACAUUUCUGUGGUCCUUGCCACAUAUUUUGGGCUAGAUGAGAGGUCGUCUUGCUCCGUGGGAAAAUCCAUGGCUGUGUAUGACCCAGAUUCAAGCCACACAAUCUCCAUUUAUUUAGUUGCCACACACCUGCUGGAAAUGAACAAGGACACUUCUCUGGUGAGCACAAGAACUCAGCGGCAGGAGGGGGCUUGGCCUAGGGACAGUCUCAAGGGUCAAAAAGAGGCCUCGAGGGCCACACUCAUCACCCAAGGCUUAAAGGUCCUCACUCUUUCUUGAAGGCACUUGCAGGAAGGCAGCUGAUCAGAAUUCUAGGGGGCCCCACAAGACAAGCUGGUGCUUCCAACAAAUGCCAUUUUCCAGCAAUGCAAUUUUACACAUUAAAUCACUUUUUCUCUGCUAGUAAAAUGGUUGCUUUCAAGUAUAAACUGUAUGAUCAGGGAAUAUGACAAUGAGAAGGGAAAGAGCAGAAAACAUUAAGAGUGCACUGUGGUUUUAAGAAGGGCAUGAUUAUAAAUGACAGGGGGAGAUGCUA